rnacentral:rRNA from 1 species
UAAUACGAGGGGGGCAAAUGUUGUUCGGAUAUACUGGGCGUAAAGCGCACGUAGGCGGCGCCGUAAGUCAGGGGUGAAAUCCCGGAGCUCAACUCCGGAACUGCCUUUGAAACUGCAGUGCUAGAAUCCUGGAGAGGCGAGUGGAAUUCCGAGUGUAGAGGUGAAAUUCGUAGAUAUUCGGAAGAACACCAGUGGCGAAGGCGACUCGCUGGACAGGUAUUGACGCUGAGGUGCGAAAGCGUGGGGAGCAAACA